rnacentral:misc_RNA from 1 species
UCGUGCGCAUCGGCUUAUAUCAUCGUAUAUAGUCGCUCGCUCGCCGCUGCACAUUCGCAAUUGGCAGUAGAUAUAUCGCAGUUGAUAUACGCACGCGCGACUCUUUUAUAAUAUAAUAAAUAAAAAUAUACAGGGAGUCGAGAGAAGCUUGAAAAAAAGCCGCAUCAUUUGUUUGUGCCGAUUCGAGUGCUCGUACAAGAAGAAGAAGAAGAAGAAGGAGCCAACGUCGUCGUGUUGUUGUGUGUCGCAAUUGCAGUGCAAUCGUCGUCCUGUGCAGUUGUCCUACUAUACUCCUCCUUCUGUGCUCGUGCUCGAGAGUCGAGUCGAGUCGUAUAGUAAUACGUAAAUAGGCCCUAUCGAGUUUCGUCGUUGCUCGCUCGUCCCACGAGCGAAUUAUCCCUGCGAAAAUGGUGUCCGGCGGUAUGGCCUGCGUCAAGUACCUUUUGUUUCUCUUCAACCUCGUAUUCGCCAUCACCGGCAUCGUGUUCAUCAGCGUAGGAGCUGUGAUACUCAUAACGUAUCGAGACUACAAUAAUUUCGUGGACAUAUGGAUGUUCGCAGUUCCGGUGCUCAUGAUCAUCGUCGGAGUGGUAGUCUUCAUCACGUCCUUCUUCGGAUGCUGCGGCGCAGUCAAGGAGAACCACUGCAUGAUCAUAACGUUCUCGGUACUGUUAAUACUGAUCUUCGUACUUGAACUGGGUGCUGGAAUCUCUGGUUACAUGAUGCGCGGCAAGGUCAGCUCCAUGCUAGAAAAGUGCAUGAACGACACGCUCGUUGCCUACAAUUCCAGGGAAGACUAUCGCACAUCGUGGGAUAUUAUGCAACACGACUUGCAAUGCUGCGGUGUGGAUCGCCCGUCCGACUGGGAAAGGGCCGGCUUCACCGGCAACACUCUGCCCCAGUCCUGCUGCACCGAGAUGCAGGGCAUUGAUCCGACUUGCGACAUGAACGAUAUCAAGUCCAAUACCGAGGGAUGCAAGCAGCAGCUACAGAGGAAAAUCGAAGAGAACGGACUGAUCCUCGGUGGAGUGGGCAUUGGCGUUGCUCUCAUACAGUUGAUCGGUGUGCUGUUUGCUUGCUGCCUAGCUCGCUCAAUACGUCGCGAGUACGAGACUGUGUAAGCUGAUCCCAAAAGACUAUAAUAAUCUAAAUUCUAAACACUGCUAUCUGAUUGCCAAAAAAUGAGACCACGGCACAUUGAUCGGCCAGCGCUUUACCGGCUAAAUUUUUAUGCUAACUUGUCCAUCAUGCAUAUACAUAGUAGAAGAAAAGAAAACAAAACAAAAGUAAACGCUACAUUUUUUAGAAAAAAUUGAAAAAGUAACAAAGUACGUCUCGCGCGACUAUGCAACAAUCAUCAAAAUCAUCCCGUUUAUCGUAGGUUUUGUGUUCAGUUUAGUUAGUGGUGGCAUUGAUGGAACAUAAGACAAAUUGAACUACCAAAAUGAGAUAAUUGACCAGCAAACAGCUACUUUGCUGUACUUUAAAUUGGUGAACACAUUUUAAAUGUAUCUUAUCUUUGAAAAACCUUAUAAUGUUCGAUGAUUUUGAUCCGUUCGAACCUUAAGAGUUGCGCGACGUCAACUUGUACAUUGUAUUAUAGUAUUACAUAUGCUAUACAUGAUGGAUAGAUUGUGCUAAUUUAUAAAACUUGAAAAUUCUAAAAAUGAAGAUGGGUUAUGAAGAGAUUUAAGAAAAAAAUAUGGUAAAUUAC